GUAGUGCUACUAGUAAAGCCGUCCAGUGAAUGGUUGGGCUCGGGUAACGAAGAAGGGCGUAGCAAGUUGCGAAAAGCCGCGGGUAGGAGCAUGCAUCCUUUGAGCCGCGGAUUCCCGAAUUGCUCGGAGACGAGUGAAGACCUGCCGAAUUGAAAUAUCUUAGUAAGCAGAGGAAAAUAAAUCAACCGAGAUUCCGUAAGUAAGGCGACUGAAACCGGAAUAGAGCAAACCGAAUGCCUCUCCGCAAGGAGGGGACGUAUGUGGUGUUAUGGACCUGUCUUUUAACGCGCGUGCACAUGAUUGAAGUGAGCUGGAAAGCUCCGUCAUAGAGGGUGAUAGCCCCGUAAGUUGUGAGUGCGCGGGUGUGACAGAGUCCGGAGUAGCGCAGCCUGAUUUGGUUGUGUGAAAUUGGGAGAAUUAACUUCCAACUCUAAAUAUACCCCGAGACCGAUAGCGUAUUUGAAGUACCGUGAGGGAAAACUGAAAAGCACCCCGAAGGGGGAGUUAAAAGUGCCUGAAAUUGGACGGCGACAGAAAGACGUGGCGUGAAAGGAAUGUGCCCCUCCUGAAACGGAGGGAGUGAACAGCGUUGCGUCGUACUUCUCGAAGCAAGAGCCAAGGAGUUCAAGGCAGUGGCGAGCAUUAUGCAAAGCGAAAGCGAAUAUCCCGCAACCGACUUAGUUCGGCGAGGGGGAGCGUCUUAACCAGCGUUAAGUCACUGUUUUGAGACCCGAAGCCGAAGCGAUCUAUGCGUGGGCAGGGCGAAGCCGCUCUUCAGAGUGGUGGAGGUCCGCAACCGGUUCUGGUCUAACCGAUCGGGUGACCUAUGUAUAGGGAUGAUAGUUCAUUCAAGCUUGGCAUUAGCGGGUUCCCUCCGAAGCGUCCCCUAGGACGGCCUUGUUGGAGGUUAACGUUAGGUAGAGCACUGAUUAGUGAGACCGGGGAGUAACAUCCUCACUCGCUUGUCAAACUCCGAAGCUAGCGUUACCUAAGAAGACAGGAGUUGGGAUGCACGAGUUAAGCGCGUGCUCCGUGAGGGGAAUGACCCCUACUGCGGUUAAGGCCCCAAAGCAUUAGCUAAGUGUAAACACAAGAGGUCGUGGUUCUCAGACAGCGGAAAGGUAGGCUCAGAAGCAGCCAUCCUUUAAACAACGCGUAACAGCGGAUCCGUCAAGAAUCAUGGCGUCGCAAACUAUCGGGACUAAGCUAAUCGCCGAUACCGUGGAACUGCAACUGCGUUGCAGGUUUGGUAGGAGGGUGUGCUGUUUGAGUAGAAGGCAGUUCGUAAGGACUGCUGGAUCGAAUAGCAACAAAGAUCUUGGUGCUAGUAGCAUCUAUUCCAGGCGAGAAUCCUGGACGCCGGAAGGGCAAGGGUUUCUAGGCAACGUUAAUCGACCUAGAGUAAGCCGAUCCUAAGGCUAAACGUAAUCGUGAUGCCAAAAGGGAAACACGUUAAUAAUCGUGUGCCUGACGAAUGCGCGCGGCAACGCAAGUCCGCUUCAGACGCUUGCGGAUAGGUCGAGCACGGGAGACCGUGUUUAACGGAGAUAGGGCGAGGAAGUCUCGUUAUGAGGAGCACUCGCGCAAAUCCGGAAUAGCCCCACAAGGGUUCGGUCAAAUCCAUGAGUACAUGAAAAGGGAGCGGAAAGUUUUUCGUCAGAUCGUACCAAGAUCCAGUACAGGUGCCCCUAGCAAAGAAAGCUAAGGCGUGGCAGGAGAACCAAGGCAAGGGAACUCGGCAAAUCAGUCCCGUACCUUCGGAAGAAGGGAUGCCUACGUUUUUCUCAAAGAUUACAUCAAUGAGGGACUCGUAGGCCGCAGUAACAAGGGGACGUCGACUGUUUAACAAAAACAUAGGUUUCCGCAAGAUGGAAACGCUGAGUACGGAAGCCGACGCCUGCUCACUGGCAGUAUCUGAACCUCCUUUUCAAGGGAGCGAAGGACUGCUAAAGAGCGGGACUAACUCUGAGUCUCUUAAGGUGAAUUAGUUGCUUUAAUAAAAUCUAGCCAUAUGCUGGAACGACCCGUUAGUAUCUCAAGCUGGCAACGGCUUGAGUGGGGUCAAUCAGCAGGAAAGGCCAAGCACGUUAAAAUGUUUGGAAUCCUCAGAGACUGUACGCUAGACUAGUGCAUAGAGCGCUGGAAGAUACAGUCCGACCCGUGCAGCGAUGUACGGAGACCGACAGAAAUGAUUCGGUCCUGCUUUUAAGUAAAAGCAGUAACAACGUGAGCGUAAUACCUCGCCGCUUAAUUGGCGGCUCGCAUGAAUGGCGUAACGAGCGUCCCACUGUCCCUGCUUUGGACCUGGUGAACCUACUACACGGUGAACAUGCCGUGGACUUCUAAGGGGAAACGAAGACCCCGUUGACCUUAACUACAGUCUGUUGUUGGCUCGCGGUUGGAGAUACAAAGCGUAAGCAGGAGCCGUUAUGUCCGUCCUUUUGGGGGCGGAAUAGGCGAAAUUGUGACACUGCUUUUUUUCGACUGCGAAUCUCACCUUAUUUUAUAAGGGACAGUUGCAGAUGGGUAGUUUGACUGGGGCGGUACGCCUUCGAUAAAAAAACAAAGGCGCCCAAAGGUAGACUCAGGCGCGUCAGAAAUGCGCUGUAGAGGGUUAAACACAAAUGUCUGCCUGACUGUGUUUUUAAGAAAAUGGAACGCAGACACGAAAGUGGGGGUUAACGAACAAUAGUGUGUCCUUUAAUGGGACCCUAUUCUGUCAGACAAGGUACCACGGGGGUAACAGGCUCGUCGCGUGCUAGAGUUCAUAUCGACCACGCGGUUUGGUACAUCGCUAUCGGCUCGGCUUAUCCUGGUGGUGCAGGAGCCACCAAGGGUUGGGUUGUUCAUCCAUUAAAGUACCUCUAGCGAGCUUUUUAGAAAAUACGGCACAGUUGAAACCUCCAGUGUAUACUGGAUAGUCUGUGCUUGUUUGAAAAGAUGUCCGCUAGAAAGUACGAUGAAAAAGCCACGUUAGUUGGGUUCAGAACGUCGCGAGACAGUUCGGUGGCAUCUCUUAGAAGUGUUUGGCAGUCUGAGGGGAAGGAUCUCUAAGUACGAGAGGAACGGGGAUUCGGCGCCUCUAGUUGAGCUGCUGUGUCAACGCAGGCAGCAUAGCCACGCGCCAGCGGAUAAGUCCUGAAAGCAUCUAAGGACGAAGCCGCUCCUAAAACGAGACUGCUUAGGCCGCCCGUAGCAGACGGGUUUGAUAGAACGGAGACGUAAACCAAGAGCGCAAGCGAUUGGCGUGUCAACCGUCACUAAAGGCCGCAAUUCUCACUUA
rfam:Candidatus Micrarchaeota archaeon CG1_02_51_15 cg1_0.2_scaffold_4840_c, whole genome shotgun sequence.